rnacentral:ncRNA from 2 species
AGACCCUGGUCUGCACUCUAUCU